rnacentral:snoRNA from 1 species
AAGACUAUAACUUUCAGAGAUCAUUUCUAUGGUUCAUUACUAGACAUUUUCUCAACAUUGGAAACCACAGGAGGAGACACACUCUCUCUCCUAAGUGUGAAGCUAGCUCUUGGUAUUGCUUUGCUAUAACUUCCUUAUGGAAUUGAUGAUUUUUCUCCUCCCUUGAGAGAGGAAAGAAAGAAAGAAAGAGAGAGAGAGA